rnacentral:snRNA from 1 species
GAAUGGGAGGGUGACCCGGCUGUAACAUCUGUCAUCUCAUUGAUGGUCAAGGUUGAUUGGGCUGAUCUGGCUGCCUAGGUGAGUGUCCCCUUUCUUCCUCAUGGCUCCAUGUGUGUCCCUCCCAAAGCUGCCCAGUCAGUGGAAGAGGGCAACCUUAGCUGAUAGAGGAGGUAUUCACGUAACUUUAAACAAGUCCUAAAGGUCUAGUUGUAGAAGGUGAGGCCAGUCAAGCUUCUAAGAUUCCAGAUACAUUCAAAUGAGGUGCUGCAUGGGGCAGCCUUUGU